rnacentral:rRNA from 1 species
GUCCAGACUCCUACGGGAGGCAGCAGUGGGGAAUAUUGCACAAUGGGGGAAACCCUGAUGCAGCGACGCCGCGUGAGUGAAGAAGUAAUUCGUUAUGUAAAGCUCUAUCAGCAGGGAAGAAAAUGACGGUACCUGAGUAAGAAGCCCCGGCUAACUACGUGCCAGCAGCCGCGGUAAUACGUAGGGGGCAAGCGUUAUCCGGAUUUACUGGGUGUAAAGGGGGCGCAGACGGCGAUGCAAGCCAGGAGUGAAAGCCCGGGGCCCAACCCCGGGACUGCUUUGGAAACUGCCCGGCUAGAGUGCUGGAGAGGUAAGCGGAAUUCCUAGUGUAGCGGUGAAAUGCGUAGAUAUUAGGAGGAACACCAGUGGCGAAGGCGGCUUACUGGACAGUAACUGACGUUGAGGCUCGAAAGCGUGGGGAGCAAACAGGAUUAGAUACCCCAGUAGG